UGUACAAUACAGUGGUCACCAACCUGUUGAGCCUCUGCCAGUCGAUUGUGAUCUCCAGGCCGCGGAAAGUCCAGCGGGGCAGCAGGGCUCAGGCAGGCUGCCUGCAAGCUGUGGCCCCACACCACUCGUGGAAGCGGCUGGCUGCUGGCACGUGUCUGCAGCCCCUGGGGGGGGGGGGGCUCCGCAUGCUGCCCCCACCCCCAGCACUGGCUCCGCAGCUCCCAUUGGCUGCCCCCCGGUCAGACUCCCCUCCAGCACCAAAACUCCCUCAAACCGUGCACCUCAACUCCCUGCCCCAGGUCAGACUCCCCUCCUGCACCAAACUCCUUCCCAGAGCCUGUACCCCUCACCUUCUGCACCCCAACACUCUGCCCCAGCCUGGAGCCCCCACCUGCAGCCAAACUCCCUCCCAGAAAGAAACUAAUAAAACAGCUGUUCUAAGACACAUGAGGUAACAUCAAAAGAUGACCCACUAGGUACAGUGAAGAAGAGCUCCAGAGAACUAGAAUGUGGUACCCAAUCAGACAGCAGAUGGUGGUUUUCUGAGCUGCGACUGAAUUCUACUAGAAGUUCCACGGAAAUUGACAUAUUAAAUUACUUCAUGCUGAUCAUGUUAUGGCAAUAAAGACAAAAUGAAUUAAAGACUGAACACUUUGUUAUCUAGAAAGGUAAGAGUGUUUUUUAAUGUUAUAUUAAUAAUUACUGAACUACAAUGCUGUUGAAUGUUGAUAAAGGCAGAACUGCUUCUUGAAAUGCUGCUGCUGACAGUCUGUGGCAGGCACUUUAAAAUAUGAUUUCUGAGUCUUAGGAGAAAAAAGAAUAAAUUAUUACUUGUGA